rnacentral:lncRNA from 1 species
AUGGCGACCAAUCCUCGACCUCAGGUGGCUCAACAAAUUUGUCAAAAAUCAAAAGUUCAAGAUGGUUACUCUCACCACCAUAAUCCCAGUGCUGGAGCAGGGCGAUUGGUUUUCAGCCCUCGACCUACAGGACGCCUAUUUUCAUGUGACUAUACACCCGGCCCACAGACGCUUCCUACGUUUUACUCUUGUCCCACGUCGGUAUCUCUCUCGCUCAUACUUGACUAUCUAUUGGAUCUUAAGCGAUCCAGCCUUUCUUUCAGCUCCAUCAGAGUCCAUUUAGCUACUAUUACAACUUUUCAUGACAAAAUUGAUGAUACUUCUGUUUUUGCUCAUCCAAUCACUAAGCGUUUCCUCAAGGGACUCCAAGCCCUAUACCCAGACAUUAAACCACCUACCACCCCAUGGGACCUUCAUUUAGUACUAGCUUGUCUAACUCAACAACCAUUUGAACCCCUAGCCACGUGCUCCCUUUUACACCUUUCGAUGAAAACUGCAUUUUUAGUGGCAAUUACCUCCGCCAGACGGACAGGAGAAAUAGCAGCUCUUAUGGCAGACCCACCAUAUACGCUAUUUUUCAAAGACAAGGUUACCCUCAGAUUACAUCCCAAAUUUCUUCCAAAGGUGCAUUCGUCAUUCCACAUUAAUGAGCCGAUACACCUACCAACCUUUUUUCCGAAACCACAUGCGAACUCAUUCGAAGCCACAAUGCAUACAUUAGAUGUACGCAGGGCCUUGUCCUUCUAUUUGGAUAGAACAAAACCUUUUAGAAACUCUUCUAGACUUUUUGUCUCCAUCGUGGAGCAUUCCAAAGGUACUCCUAUUUCUACCCAGAGACUUUCAAACUGGAUUUCUCAGUGCAUCUGGUUGUGCUAUCAGAUGAAGAAGGUGACACCUCCAGACGGCAUCAGAACGCACUCCACUAGAUCUCUGGCUGCCUCUGUAGCUUUCUUAUGCAAAGUUCCCCUGGCUGAUACCUGUAAAGCAGCCACUUGGUCCUCUGAACACACAUUUGUUAAACGCUAUGCCCUUACUCAAGGCCCUCUCUCUGAUAUACGUUUGCGUUUAGGGAUGACUAACAACAGAAGUAACGGAAGAGGAGAAGGACCUAGGGGUUCUUGUAGACCGGAGGUGACUAUGAGUCGACAAUGUGACGUGGCGGUGAAAAAAGCCAAUGCGGUCUUGGGAUGCAUUAGGCGAGGGGAAUAUUGCAUUGUUUGA